GCUUGUUGUUUCGGGAGUAACAAACUGUAAACCAGUCAUUGUCAACGACAAAGUUGCCAUCUUUAAGUUCAAAAAUUCAGAAUGUGGAGUUCAUGCUUAUGAAGUUGGUGAGACGAUGAUCUACCUGGCUGAAGUGCAGACUGUCGUCCAAUCUCUGACCCUCCAGUAUGGCGUAAUUGCAACACGUGAUCCACUCAGGUUCAUGGUUGAGUGUCGCUAUAGCAAAGCAGGCGUUGCUCCGCAGUCACUAACCAGCGUUGGCUACAUGGUGAAGACCCCGAGUUCCACCUUGCCGUCAGCGGUCCUCUCUAAUGGCUUAUAUGCUGUUGACUUGAGAAUUGCUAAAGAUCAGACGUAUUCAAGCUACUUGCCCACAAAUAAUCAGCCCUUGCGACUGCUCCUUGGCAGUCCAGUCUAUCUUGACUGCGCCUGAUAUCACCAAAACCAGAUGCGGUAAUCCUUGUCAACUACUGUGUAGCUUACCCUCGCUCUGCAAGGAAUGCACUGGUGCUUAUUUAUGAAGGGUGUCCCAACCUUUAUGCUCCAAAUGUGUCCCUCCUUAAAAUCAUUGACUG